rnacentral:rRNA from 1 species
AACGAACGCUGGCGGCAUGCCUAACACAUGCAAGUCGAACGAGACCUUCGGGUCUAGUGGCGCACGGGUGCGUAACGCGUGGGAACCUGCCCUUAGGUUCGGAAUAACUCCCCGAAAGGGGUGCUAAUACCGGAUAAUGUCUUCGGACCAAAGAUUUAUCACCUUUGGAUGGGCCCGCGUUGGAUUAGCUAGUUGGUAGGGUAAAAGCCUACCAAGGCGACGAUCCAUAGCUGGUCUGAGAGGAUGAUCAGCCACACUGGGACUGAGACACGGCCCAGACUCCUACGGGAGGCAGCAGUGGGGAAUAUUGGACAAUGGGCGAAAGGCUGAUCCAGCAAUGCCGCGUGAGUGAUGAAGGCCUUAGGGUUGUAAAGCUCUUUUACCCGGGAUGAUAAUGACAGUACCGGGAGAAUAAGCACCGGCUAACUCCGUG